rnacentral:rRNA from 1 species
UACAGAGACUGCAAGCGUUAUUCGGAUUCACUGGGCGUAAAGCGUGCGCAGGCGGUUUUGUAAGUCUGUCGUGAAAGCCCCGGACUCAACCUGGGAAUUGCGAUGGAGACUGCAAGGCUUGAAUCUGGCAGAGGGGGGUAGAAUUCCACGUGUAGCAGUGAAAUGCGUAGAGAUGUGGAGGAACACCGAUGGCGAAGGCAGCCCCCUGGGUCAAGAUUGACGCUCAUGCACGAAAGCGUGGGGAGCAAACAGG